AUUGCACUAAUAACACUUGUGCUUGAUAUCAACAGCAAUAAGAUGUUCCGUCCCUCAGAUUGAACAUGGCCGUGUGCUUGGUGCCGCUCAGGAGUACAAAGAACAAGAAAUCUUAGAUUUUAGAUGUGAUCAUUCUUAUAAACGGGCUGAUGAGAGAACUCCAAGAUGCACAAAAUUUGCAGGAAAAGCAGACUGGAGUCCCACACCUGCAUGUAAAGUAAUUAAAUGUGAACUGAAUCUGGCAUCAAUCCCUGGGACAACCCACGACCCUCCAUACAAAAACAUGUUUUUACCUGGAGAAACAGUGAGAGUCACAUGUGGGGAGAAUCACUGGAUUCUGGACACGCAAACAACGGUGGCUGAUGUUACAUGUGGAAUCAAUGGAGACUGGAAUACGGAUCCGAUAUGCCAAGAGGUUACAUGCCCACGAUACAUACAAGAACCACAUUUGUAUCGUUUUGUUAACGCUUGGGCCAAAAACAAAUUAGGUGACAGAGUACAGUAUGGCUGUGACUACAACUACGAUCCUGCAAGUUCAGACAGAACAGCGACGUGUACCAGAGACGGAUGGACACCGAAACCACUUUGUCGUGGGAGACAGUGUGAAAACCCUAAUAUUGAAAACUCCAGAAUUACCAGCAGUAGUAGAGAAAGAAAU